UGCCUCAGUAACGGCGAGUGAAGCGGCAACAGCUCAAAUUUGAAAUCUGACCUCUCCGGGGCCCGAGUUGUAAUUUGUAGAGAGUGUUUCGGGUGAGACCACGGUCUAAGUCCAUUGGAACAUGGUGUCAGAGAGGGUGAGAAUCCCGUAUGUGACUGUGGAUCGAGCCCAUGUGAAGCCUCUUCGACGAGUCGAGUUGUUUGGGAAUGCAGCUCAAAAUGGGUGGUAAAUUUCAUCUAAAGCUAAAUACUGGCUGGAGACCGAUAGCGCACAAGUAGAGUGAUCGAAAGAUGAAAAGCACUUUGGAAAGAGAGUCAAAAAGUACGUGAAAUUGUUGAAAGGGAAGCGCUUGCAACCAGACCUGUCCGUAAGUGAUCCGCCGCUGUUCUCAGUGGUGCACUCGCUCUGCGAUCAGGCCAGCAUCGGUUCGGGCGGUCGGAUAAAGGCCUUGGGAAUGUAGCUUCCCCCGGGAUGUCUUAUAGCCCUCGGUGCAAUGCGGCCAGCCCGGACCGAGGACCGCGCUUCGGCUAGGAUGCUGGCGUAAUGGUUGUAAGCGACCCGUCUUGAAACACGGACCAAGGAGUCUAACAUCUAUGCGAGUGUUUGGGUGUCAAACCCAUGCGCGGAAUGAAAGUGAACGGAGGUGAGAACCCUUUCCGGGGUGCAUCAUCGACCGAUCCAGAUGUCUUCGGAUGGAUUUGAGUAUGAGCAUAGCUGUUGGGACCCGAAAGAUGGUGAACUAUGCCUGAAUAGGGUGAAGCCAGAGGAAACUCUGGUGGAGGCUCGCAGCGGUUCUGACGUGCAAAUCGAUCGUCAAAUUUGGGUAUAGGGGCGAAAGACU
rnacentral:rRNA from 1 species